rnacentral:misc_RNA from 1 species
ACCACAUUCAAUCAUGCCUGAUCCCCAACAUUUUCAUGGCAAGCUCCCAGGUGACUAUUGCAGCUGCAUUAGCUGGAAAUGCUCGCACUAUUGUAGGAGCCAAACCUGCAUAACACCCUUUAAGUCCAGCCCUCCUGUAAAUCGAGUUCAGUACUAGAAAUGGAUUUCUGGUGGAGCUUUUAUCUGGAGCAGUCUGGAUGACAGUUUUCGCCACAUCCAACGGCAAAACAGCAGACCAGAAAGCUACGCCACCAAGGCCACCACUCACAAUUCCAACUCCCAUGUCAAUCAAGUUGUUGUGGUCAGAAAAAGAAGCCUUCAAUUGUAAAUGCAUGUAGUAACGGACAUACUCAUAAACACUAAAGAAGACUGCAUUUCCAAAAGAUUCUCUUAACAGUGUUGCAAAGCCUCCUCGAAAAAUGCCUGAAAUCCCUUCAUUUUUCACUGUUUGAAGGGCGCAAUCAAAUGGACUACUGUAUCUACUGAACUUUGGAACCAAGGAGUCAGUACCUUGAACUUGCAUCCUACACUUUACCAGCUCAGAUGGACAUAAUACAAAACUUAUAAUUGCUCCACCAUAAGCUGCAGAAGGAAUUAUUACUUGGGGCGUGGGCACAUCACUAUUCAAUCCUCUCUGCAAGGACUGCUUUGUUUGAGAAUAAAUCCCAAAAAGAAGUGAACUCUCGAAAGCCAUCCCAACAAAUGAUGAUGUUGCACCCCUAUAAAGUCCUUUAACUCCUUCAGUCUGUAGGAUCCUAGUCGUGCAAUGCAGACCAUUCCUGUACUUAAUCCCAUGCGCUUCCGUAUUGUGUUUUUGCAGCUUUACCUUGACGGUGUCGAAAGGAUGACCGGUGAUAACGAUGGCAACACCUGCGAGUAAACCGGCUAAGUACUCCUUGUAAGCGACAGUGUCCCCCAUUUCCAGUUUCUCUCCCUAAACCCCCCAAACCUUUGAACUUAAUAUGAUCUAUACCAGGGGAAGUAUAGUGG